GUAAAUUUAGGUUAAAAACUUUAAGUCUUCAAAACUUUAGAUGCAGGAGUUGCAAUUUACG
rnacentral:tRNA from 1 species